UACAGAGGGUGCAAGCGUUAAUCGGAAUUACUGGGCGUAAAGCGUGCGUAGACGGUUAUUUAAGUCAGGUGUGAAAGCCCCGGGCUCAACCUGGGAACUGCGCUUGAGACUGGCACGCUCGAGUUCGGGAGAGGAUGGUGGAAUUCCCAGUGUAGAGGUGAAAUUCGUAGAUAUUGGGAAGAACACCGAUGGCGAAGGCAGCCAUCUGGACCGACACUGACGCUGAGGCGCGAAAGCGUGGGGAGCAAACAGG
rnacentral:rRNA from 1 species